GGUUGACCUCGGAUCAGGUAGGGAUACCCGCUGAACUUAAGCAUAUCAAUAAGCGGAGGAAAAGAAACCAACAGGGAUUGCCCCAGUAACGGCGAGUGAAGCGGCAAGAGCUCAAAUUUGAAAGCUGACUCCUUCGGGGUCCGCAUUGUAAUUUGCAGAGGAUGCUUCGGGAGCGGUCCCCAUCUAAGUGCCCUGGAACGGGACGUCAUAGAGGGUGAGAAUCCCGUAU
rnacentral:rRNA from 1 species